rnacentral:rRNA from 1 species
GACGAACGCUGGCGGCGUGCUUAACACAUGCAAGUCGAACGAGUGGCGAACGGGUGAGUAAUACGGGGGAACCUGCCUGAUGGAGGGGGAUAACUACGGGAAACGGUAGCUAAUACCGCAUACCAUCAGAUGUGCCCAUAUGGGAUUGUCUAGUAGGUGGGGUAACGGCUCACCUAGGCGACGAUGCCUAGCUGGUCUGAGAGGAUGACCAUCAACACUGGAACUGAGACACGGUCCAGACUCCUACGGUAGACAGCAGUGGGGAAUAGUGCACAAUGGGCGCAAGCCUGAUGCAGCCAUGCCGCGUGGGUGAAGAAGGCCUUCGGGUUGUAAAGCACUUUCAUCGGGGAGGCGUUACCCGCAGAAGAAGCACCGGCUAACUCCGUGCCAGCAGCCGCGGUAAUUC